rnacentral:tRNA from 1 species
GGCAAUGUGGCGGAGUGGUUAUCGCGCUAGCCUAGAAUCUUCCAUAGGAGAGUUGAAAGCUAGUUCCUUCGGGAGCGUCAGUUCGAAUCUGGCCAUUGUCG